rnacentral:rRNA from 1 species
AGGGCACCACCAGGAGUGGAGCCUGCGGCUUAAUUUGACUCAACACGGGGAAACUCACCCGGCCCGGACACCGGAAGGAUUGACAGAUUGAUAGCUCUUUCUUGAUUCGGUGGAUGGUGGUGCAUGGCCGUUCUUAGUUGGUGGAGCGAUCUGUCUGGUUAAUUCCGAUAACGGACGAGACUCUAGCCUAUUAAAUAGACGUCGGGUUCUCUGCACUCGACGGUCUUCUUAGAGGGACAAGGUGCUUUUAGCACCGCGAAACAGAGCAAUAACAGGUCUGUGAUGCCCUUAGGUGUCCGGGGCCGCACGCGCGCUACACUGAAGGAAGCAGCGUGUAACAACCUUGUUCUAACGAACUGGGUAACCCGUGGAACUUCCUUCAUGAUUGGGAUAGGGGUUUGCAAUUGUGCCCCUUGAACGAGGAAUUCCCAGUAAACACUAGUCAUCAGCUAGUGCUGAUUACGUCCCUGCCCUUUGUACACACCGCCCGUCGCUACUACCGAUUGAAUGGUUUAGUGA